rnacentral:rRNA from 1 species
AAGACCUUUUUCGGAAGGUAUGCUUAAAGAGGGGCUUGCGUCACAUUAGUUAGUUGGCAGGGUAAAGGCCUACCAAGACUAUGAUGUGUAGCUGGACUGAGAGGUUGAACAGCCACAUUGGGACUGAGACACGGCCCAAACUCCUACGGGAGGCAGCAGUAGGGAAUUUUCGGCAAUGGAGGAAACUCUGACCGAGCAACGCCGCGUGAACGAUGAAGUAUUUCGGUAUGUAAAGUUCUUUUAUUGAAGAAGAAAAAAUAGUGGAAAAACUAUCUUGACGAUAUUCAAUGAAUAAGCCCCGGCAAACUAUGUGCCAGCAGCCGCGGUAAUACAUAGGGGGCGAGCGUUUAUCCGGAAUUAUUGGGCGUAAAGGGUGCGUAGGCGGUUUAAUAAGUCUAUAGUUUAAUUUCAGUGCUUAACACUGUCCUGCUAUAGAAACUAUUAGACUAGAGUGAGAUAGAGGCAAGUGGAAUUCCAUGUGUAGCGGUAAAAUGCGUAAAUAUAUGGAGGAACACCAGAGGCGUAGGCGGCUUGCUGGGUCUUUACUGACGCUGAGGCACGAAAGCGUGGGGAGCAAACAGGAUUAGAUACCCUGGUAGUCCACGCCGUAAACGAUGAGUACUAAGUGUCGGGAUUACUCGGUACUGAAGUUAACACAUUAAGUACUCCGCCUGAGUAGUACGGUACGCAAGUAUGAAACUUAAAGGAAUUGACGGGACUCCGCACAAGCGGUGGAUCAUGUUGUUUAAUUCGAAGAUACACGAAAAACCUUACCAGGUCUUGACAUACUCUGCAAAGCUAUAGCAAUAUUAGUGGAGGUUAUCAGGGAUACAGGUGGUGCAUGGUUGUCGUCAGCUCGUGUCGUGAGAUGUUAGGUUAAGUCCUAAAACGAGCGCAACCCUUGUCAUUAGUUGCCAGCAUGUCAUGAUGGGCACUUUUAAUGAGACUGCCAAUGAAAAAUUGGAGGAAGGUGAGGAUCACGUCAAAUCAUCAUGCCCCUUAUGAUCUGGGCUACAAACGUGAUACAAUGGCUGUUACAAAGAGUAGCUGAAACGCAAGUUUAUUAGCCAAUCUCAUAAAAGCAGUCUCAGUUCGGAUUGAAGUCUGCAACUCGACUUCAUGAAGUUGGAAUCGCUAGUAAUCGCGAAUCAGCA